GAUGAACGCUGGCGGCGUGCCUAAUACAUGCAAGUCGAGCGAACGGACGAUAAGCUUGCUUUUCUUAUGUUAGCGGCGGACGGGUGAGUAACACGUGGAUAACCUACCUAUAAGACUGGGAUAACUUCGGGAAACCGGAGCUAAUACCGGAUAAUAUUUUGAACCGCAUGGUUCAAAAGUGAAAGACGGUCUUGCUGUCACUUAUAGAUGGAUCCGCGCUGCAUUAGCUAGUUGGUAAGGUAACGGCAUACCAAGGCAACGAUGCAUAGCCGACCUGAGAGGGUGAUCGGCCACACUGGAACUGAACCGCGGUCCAGACUCAUACGGGAGGCAGCAGUAGGGAAUCUUACGCAAUGGGCGGAAGCCUGACGGAGCAAAGCCACGUGAGUGAUGAAGGUCUUGGGAUCGUAGAACUAUGUUAUUAGGAAAGAACAUAUGUGUAAGUAACUGUGCACAUCUUGACGGUACCUAAUCAGAAAGCCACGGCUAACUACGUG
rnacentral:rRNA from 1 species